rnacentral:rRNA from 1 species
AGGAUGAACGCUAGCGACAGGCCUAACACAUGCAAGUCGAGGGGCAGCACGAAGGAAGCUUGCUUCUUGGUGGCGACGGCGCACGGGUGCGUAACAGGUGUGCAAUCUGUCCAUAGUCGGGGGAUAGCCCAGCGAAAGCUGAAUUAAUACUCCAUGUGAAUCGAAGCCGCAUGACUUUGAUUUGAAACGCAAGGACUAUGGGUGAGCACGCUUCUGAUUAGGUAGUUGGUGGGGUAACGGCCCACCAGCCGACGAUCAGUAGGGUUCUGAGAGGAAGGUCCCCCACAUUGGAACUGAGACACGGUCCAAACUCCUACGGGAGGCAGCAGUGAGGAAUAUUGGUCAAUGGGCGAGAGCCUGAACCAGCCAAGUCGCGUGAAGGAUGAAGGUUCUAUGGAUUGUAAACUUCUUUUGUCCGAGGGUAAAAAAGGCCACGUGUGGCUUCUUGCAAGUAUCGGACGAAUAAGCAUCGGCUAACUCCGUGCCAGCAGCCGC